GAGGUUUUUUAUCGUUCGGCUGCUGUCCUGUUGACAUAUGUAAAAUAUCUCCAAUAUUAAAAGUCUCUGGAUCAUAGUGGGUGCCAUAUUACCUAUUAUUUUUUUCUAAAACGUGCUUUGUAUAUAGAAAUAAGAAGAUGAGGUAUGAGUGCCAAAUGAGACAUCUUUCCAACAAAGACAUAAUUUAGUAAAGUAAGCAGUCAUAGGUCCAAUGCUGAAAAGUAAGCUAUUAAUGACCCCAAAAUUACUUGUGUAAAACAAUCCAAACAAAAACAAAAAAAAAACAAAAAAAACCGGCCCAAUUAAUAUAUAAAAG
rnacentral:lncRNA from 1 species